GCUAUGCUAAGUUUGUGGGCUGGGUUAUUUCCGUCCCGUUUUCUCUCUCCCUCGCUCAGUCCUUCUCCACUAAAAAAACGUCCCUCUCUCUGCCUCGUUCUCCAUCUCGGAUCUAGAUGUUCUUAGAAAAAGAAAUAAAUCUUGAUCUAGAUCCCACCGCCCAAUCCUCUCCCUUCCAUGGCCAGCUGCCUUCCCUUCCCCGGCGAGCAGCUCCGCUCGACCCUCUUCCACCCCUUCUUCGGAGGUCAUGGGCGUCGCCGGUGGAGCUCAUCCAUCACGGGUCGUGCGACGACCACCGUCGUCCUUCUCUGCCACCCCCCUCCCCACAUCUUCUUAAUUCGUUCAGAUUCUACCAUUAUUUGUAAUCUGCUUUCUCGAUUAUGCAGGUGCUAAUAUGUAAUUCAUGGAUGUCCGAGGAAUCACUCAUUCGUCUCCCAGCCUUCUGCGCCAUGUCGCCAAACUGAAGUGGAUUUGCGAGAACAGUUCUUAUUUCGUUUUCCCCGUCCUCUUCCACAAGGCCAGAUUUGUGAUUGAAGUUGAUUUUAUGGUUGCUCAAAGUUCUGGAGCGAGCUGGAUGGAUUUUGAAUUGGUUCCUUUCCAUCAUACAUGGCUCGUGGUUCAAGUUUUAAGGUGUUAUGUGCUACAUGGAUUAGCUGCCUCACCCUCUGAACUUUUUAGCCCGGGUGGUGGGGAAGACGCCCGCGCCAAUGGCCGUGCGGAACUCGCUGCCUGCGGCCACGCAUCCACUUGCAACUGGGAUGUGGGCGAGCCUGCUGUCACAGUCCUCGAAGGUGCGUGAAUUGGGGUGGCUGGCUUACUGGUUAUCCAUUCGCUUCAAGAUUUUCUGUCAUGUUUCCAUAUUUUUCAUUUAUGCUAUUCUGACAAUGAUGAAACCUGCCAGAUUUGUUAGCUUUACACUUCUCUAAAAUUUUCAGAGUUACCCUUUACCUGAUGACAGAUUUUCUAGUUUGUUUUAAAUGACCAUGAAGUGUCAAUCUCUAUAUCUUUUAAACAUGUGUUAUCUGAAUAAAUGUUUGAGCACUGCGUGUGCACUAUGUUCUCUGGAUAAAUGAAAUGCGCACCCUGCUCUUUGAUUGUGUGGCUAUUUAGUCAUUGUCGUGGUUUCAGUUAUAUUGACUCGUCUUGUACCCUAAUACAAUGUUACCCUCCCCCUGAAUGUGGCAGUUUGUUGCCCAGCUUGUGCUGACCGAAUGAUAGUUAUGUAUAAAAAUGAGAUGAAUAAGAAUCCUUUUGUUUUUUCCCUAAGAUAUUGGUUCUGAUUUCUAAAAAAACUGAAGUUACUAAGUUGUGUUCAGGGUUCUGGCCGCACUGGUCCUUGCCUGUGCACCCGCUGGGCGCGGCCUAGUCGCCAUUGUCCAGAGCGUCGACGAAGAGCUAGAUCUGACCAUUAUAGGAGGCGGGGGAGCACUGGAGAGGUUUGCUGCCUCUACCCGGAGCGCGUCGAUAGCGGUGGCAAAUAAGCAUGCUCCGGCGGUGUGGUGCUCACGAUGUAAUGAGAGUUGUAUCGACGUUAGCAGUUUUAGUAAUUUUUUACUACCUCAGUCCAAAAAUACUUGUUGGAGAAAUGGGUAAAAAUGGAAGUAUCUAGAACUAAAAGGCGUCUAAAUACAUCCAUUUCUCCAACAAGUAUUUCCUAAUGGAGGGAGUAUGCAAUAUUUUAUAAAUCUCAAGUAAGCAUCUAUGUGAGAUAUUUUGAAUCGGGUUUGAUGUACUAGUUUCAACCAAAUAUGCACCUAAUGUUAUGUUCAUGUGCUAGUGAAAUUAAUGUUGAAAACUCCAAACCGGGAAUGACAUGAACACGACGCCUAUCUUUUUUUGAAAAACUUUCAACCUAUUCAUUUUUAAGCAUGAUAGUACAACGAACAUGAAAAAGAAAUACAUCCAGAUCCGUAGACCACCUAACGACGACUACAAGCACUGAAGUAAGCCAAAUGCGCACCGCUAUCAUCGCCCUACCUCGCCGGAGCCGGGCAAAACUUGUUGUAGUGGACAAUCAGGUAGUCAUCAUGCUAAGGCCCUAUAGGACCAAGGCACUAGAACAACAACCUAGCAUAGAUCAGAAUGAUCCAACCUGAAGACACAUGAACGUAGACACACUACGACCAGAUCCGAA
rnacentral:rRNA from 1 species